UACAGAGGUCCCAAGCGUUGUUCGGAUUCACUGGGCGUAAAGGGUGCGUAGGUGGUGAGGUAAGUCGGAUGUGAAAGCUCGGAGCUCAACUCCGAAAUGGCAUUGGAAACUACCUUGCUCGAGGGAUGGAGGGGGGACUGGAAUUCUCGGUGUAGCAGUGAAAUGCGUAGAUAUCGAGAGGAACACCAGUGGCGAAGGCGGGUCUCUGGACAGUUCCUGACACUGAGACACGAAGGCCAGGGGAGCAAACGGG
rnacentral:rRNA from 1 species